rnacentral:rRNA from 1 species
GACGAACGCUGGCGGCGUGCCUAAUACAUGCAAGUAGAACGCUGAAGGAGGAGCUUGCUUCUCUGGAUGAGUUGCGAACGGGUGAGUAACGCGUAGGUAACCUGCCUGGUAGCGGGGGAUAACUAUUGGAAACGAUAGCUAAUACCGCAUAAUAGUAGAUGUUGCAUGACAUUUGCUUAAAAGGUGCAAUUGCAUCACUACCAGAUGGACCUGCGUUGUAUUAGCUAGUUGGUGGGGUAACGGCUCACCAAGGCGACGAUACAUAGCCGACCUGAGAGGGUGAUCGGCCACACUGGGACUGAGACACGGCCCAGACUCCUACGGGAGGCAGCAGUAGGGAAUCUUCGGCAAUGGACGGAAGUCUGACCGAGCAACGCCGCGUGAGUGAAGAAGGUUUUCGGAUCGUAAAGCUCUGUUGUAAGAGAAGAACGAGUGUGAGAGUGGAAAGUUCACACUGUGACGGUUUCUUACCAGAAAGGGACGGCUAACUACGUG